rnacentral:rRNA from 1 species
UAGGGAAUCUUCGGCAAUGGACGAAAGUCUGACCGAGCAACGCCGCGUGAGUGAAGAAGGUUUUCGGAUCGUAAAACUCUGUUGUUAGAGAAGAACAAGGACGUUAGUAACUGAACGUCCCCUGACGGUAUCUAACCAGAAAGCCACGGCUAACUACGUGCCAGCAGCCGCGGUAAUACGUAGGUGGCAAGCGUUGUCCGGAUUUAUUGGGCGUAAAGCGAGCGCAGGCGGUUUCUUAAGUCUGAUGUGAAAGCCCCCGGCUCAACCGGGGAGGGUCAUUGGAAACUGGGAGACUUGAGUGCAGAAGAGGAGAGUGGAAUUCCAUGUGGAGCGGUGAAAUGCGUAGAUAUAUGGAGGAACACAAGUGGCGAAGGCGGCUCUCUGGUCUGUAACUGACGGUGAGGCUCGAAAGCGUGGGGAGCAAACAGG